UGAGGCAGGAGAAUUGCUUGAACCCAGGAGGUGGAGGUUGCAGUGAGCUGAGAUCGUGCCACUGCACUCCAGCCUGGGUGACAGAGCAAGACUCCAUCUC
ensembl:miRNA